AAGACUAUACUUUCAGGGAUCAUUUCUAUAGUUACUAACUUGGAAAUGUGUUUCGAAAGAGUUAAGUCUCCCAAACCACGAUGAUGAGUGAUGUGUGCUCUUCUGAGCGUGAAUCGGGUGAUAGUCUGCGGUUUAACCGCAGAUAGUUACCAUUGAUGAACGUUCACUGACUCUAUCGGAGCCAUUGAGGAAGAGUGCAUGAUCCGAGUGGU